UACAGAGGGUGCAAGCGUUAAUCGGAAUUACUGGGCGUAAAGCGAGCGUAGGUGGCUUGAUAAGUCAGAUGUGAAAGCCCCGGGCUUAACCUGGGAACGGCAUCUGAUACUGUUAGGCUAGAGUAGGUGAGAGGAAGGUAGAAUUCCAGGUGUAGCGGUGAAAUGCGUAGAGAUCUGGAGGAAUACCGAUGGCGAAGGCAGCCAUCUGGCCUAAUACUGACACUGAGGUGCGAAAGCGUGGGUAGCAAACAGG
rnacentral:rRNA from 1 species